rnacentral:rRNA from 1 species
GCUUGUCUCAAAGAUUAAGCCAUGCAUGUCUAAGUAUAAAUCUUUUACUUUGAAACUGCGAACGGCUCAUUAUAUCAGUUAUAGUUUAUUUGAUAGUCCCUUACUACUUGGAUAACCGUAGUAAUUCUAGAGCUAAUACAUGCGUCAAUACCCUUCUGGGGUAGUAUUUAUUAGAUUGAAACCAACCGCUUCGGCGUGAUGUGGUGAUUCAUAAUAAAUUUGCGAAUCGCAUGGCUUUACGCCGGCGACGUUUCCUUCGAAGGUGUGCCCUAUCAACUGUCGACUGUGAUAUAGACGCUCACAGUGGUUUUGACGGGUAACGGGGAAUCAGGGUUCGAUUCCGGAGAGGGAGCCUUAAAAACGGCUACCACAUCCAAGGAAGGCAGCAGG